rnacentral:rRNA from 1 species
AGUGAACGCUGGCGGCAGGCCUAACACAUGCAAGUCGAACGGCAACACGAUGCGAGUUUCUGCUUCGCUGUGGCGUGGCGGAGGGGGGAGAGAUGUCUAUCGGGCUGCCCUUUGUCGUGGGGGAUAAAGUGGGAACGGUAACGAAAACACCGUAUACGCCCUAGGGCAAAGAGCGGGACAUCUUGGCCCCUUGCGCGCUUGUAUGCGCCGAUGUCGGAUUAGCUAGUUGGUGGGGUAAAGGCCCACCAAGGCGACGAUCCGUAGCUGGUCUGAGAGGAUGACCAGCCACACUGGAACUGAGACACGGUCCAGACUCCUACGGGAGGCAGCAGUGGGGAAUAUUGGACAAUGGGCGCAAGCCUGAUGCAGCCAUGCCGCGUGUAUGAAGAAGGCCUUCGGGUUGUAAAGUCCUUUUGGCGGGGAGGAAAGGAGUAAAGUUAAUACCUUUGCUCAUUGACGUUACCCGAAGAAGAAGCACCGGCUAACUUCGUG